rnacentral:rRNA from 1 species
GUCCACGCCCUAAACGAUGCAUAUUUGGUGUGGGCAGUUCAUUCUGUCCGUGCCGGAGCUAACGCGUUAAAUAUGCCGCCUGGGGAGUACAGUCGCAAGGCUGAAACUCAAAGGAAUUGACGGGGGGCCCGCACAAGCGGUGGAGCAUGUGGUUCAAUUCGACGCAACGCGAAGAACCUUACCUGGGCUCGAACGGCUGGUCAACGGAGGUGGAAACACUUUUACCCCGCAAGGGGUCCAGUCGAGGUGCUGCAUGGCUGUCGU